rnacentral:tRNA from 1 species
GCCUGGGUGGCUCAGUCGCUUAAGCAUCUGACUUUGGCUCAGGUCAUGAUCUCGUGGUUUGUGAGUUCAAGCCCCACUUUGGGCU